AGCAGCCGCGGUAAUUCCAGCUCCAAUAGCGUAUAUUAAAGUUGUUGCAGUUAAAAAGCUCGUAGUUGAAUUUCGGGGUCAGUAGGUCGGUCGUGCCACUGGUAUGAACUGGUUUUACUGAUUCCUCCCUCUUGAAGAACUGUAAUGCCAUUAAUUUGGUGUUGCAGGGAAUCAGGACUGUUACUUUGAAAAAAUUAGAGUGUUUAAAGCAGGCUUUAGCUUGAAUACAUUAGCAUGGAAUAAUGAAAUAGGACGUUUGAUCCUAUUUUGUUGGUUUCUAGGAUUGACGUAAUGAUUAAUAGGGAUAGUUGGGGGCAUUAGUAUUCAAUUGUCAGAGGUGAAAUUCUUGGAUUUAUUGAAGACUAACUACUGCGAAAGCAUUUGCCAAGGAUGUUUUCAUUAAUCAAGAACGAAAGUUAGGGGAUCGAAGACGAUCAGAUACCGUCGUAGUCUUAACCAUAAACUAUGCCGACUAGGGAUUGGAUGAUGUUAAUUUUUUAAUGACUCA
rnacentral:rRNA from 1 species